rnacentral:lncRNA from 1 species
CCCCCGGCCGCCCGGCCCCGCGCGGAGCCCGGGUGGGUGUGACCCGGCCCGCCCGCGCGGGGGGUGCGGCGGAGACCACGGACCCGCUUUGUGCCAGCCGCCCCGGCCCCGGCAGCGGCGGGACAUUCAUCUUGCGUGGCAGGCACAGCCGGAGGCGUGGGGCCAAUUAACAUUUUGAUUGCGGGACUGGGGGGCCAUCUGGACCGAGGCCUAAUUACCCGGCAGACCCUCGGGGCGCCGGCGGGACGUGCCAGGCGCGAUCCCCUCAUGACCCAGCGCUCACCGCCUUCUCCCGGACCCUGUCCCCGCCCUCAACUCUGUCCUUCGACUCCAUCCUUGGCCUCCUCCGUUCGUCCUAGUAUUCUUGCCUCUCUGUCCCCACUCUCCGGGUCCUCCGACCCCCAACUCUGUCCCCUUCCCCCAUUCUUCCGUUCGUCUGCCCUGUCCCCCCACCCCCCGUUUCUCUCC